rnacentral:piRNA from 1 species
UGAGGGUCUCGAGUUUACCCAGGUUGC